UGGACUCAUGGCGGACGGGUGAGUAACGCGUAAAGAACUUGCCCUUUAGACUGGGAUAACAGAGGGAAACUUCUGAUAAUACUGGAUAAGUUAGUAUAUCGCAUGAUAUGCAAAUGAAAGCUACGGCACUAAAGGAGAGCUUUGCGUCCUAUUAGCUAGUUGGUAAGGUAAGAGCUUACCAAGGCGAUGAUAGGUAGCCGGCCUGAGAGGGUGGACGGCCACAAGGGGACUGAGAUACGGCCCUUACUCCUACGGGAGGCAGCAGUGGGGAAUAUUGGACAAUGGAGGGAACUCUGAUCCAGCAAUUCUGUGUGUGUGAAGAAGGUUUUAGGACUGUAAAACACUUUUAGUAGGGAAGAAAAAAAUGACGGUACCUACAGAAGAAGCAACGGCUAAAUACGUGCCAGCAGCCGCGGUAAUACGUAUGUUGCGAGCGUUAUCCGGAAUUAUUGGGCUUAAAGGGCAUCUAGGCGGUAAGACAAGUUGAAGGUGAAAACCUGUGGCUCAACCAUAGGCUUGCCUACAAAACUGUUGAACUAGAGUACUGGAAAGGUGGGUGGAACUACACGAGUAGAGGUGAAAUUCGUAGAUAUGUGUAGGAAUGCCGAUGAUGAAGAUAACUCACUGGACAGAAACUGACGCUGAAGUGCGAAAGCUAGGGGAGCAAACAAGAUUAGAUACCCUGGUAGUCCUAGCUGUAAACGAUGAUCACUGGG
rnacentral:rRNA from 1 species